CUUCUCUUUAACUCUCAAAGAGCCAAAUUAAAAAAAUUACAAGCACAUAAAAUUUCUCAAAGACUAAGAAACUACAUCAUAUCAUAGACUAUUUUUAAUUGUAUUAACCAAUAACCAUGCCAGUUGUAAUUGUUGUCAUUUAAAUCCCUCCAUUUUCAGCAAGAAAUAAUCAUAUUCUCGGUUAUUUUGCUAGUUUCUAGAGACAGCCUCAGGAUUCAAUGUUUUGUAUAGCUGGUGUGUGUGUGUGUGCGCGCGUAUGUAUGUAUUGAUUUCUUAACCUGAAAUUGGGACAUAUGGACUAAUAAAGAAUUUUGUCUAAUUCAUGAGUUUAUUUAUACAUGAAUAUCUUG
rnacentral:lncRNA from 1 species